rnacentral:rRNA from 1 species
CCUACGGGGGGCUGCAGUGGGGAAUAUUGGGCAAUGGGCGCAAGCCUGACCCAGCAACGCCGCGUGAAGGAAGAAGGCUUUCGGGUUGUAAACUUCUUUUCUCAGGGACGAAGCAAGUGACGGUACCUGAGGAAUAAGCCACGGCUAACUACGUGCCAGCAGCCGCGGUAAUACGUAGGUGGCAAGCGUUAUCCGGAUUUACUGGGUGUAAAGGGCGUGUAGGCGGGACUGCAAGUCAGAUGUGAAAACCACGGGCUCAACCUGUGGCCUGCAUUUGAAACUGUAGUUCGUGAGGACUGGGGAGGCAGACGGGAUUCCUAGUGGAGAGGUGAAAUGCGGAGAGAUUAGGAGGAACACCAGGGGCGAAGGCGGUCUGGUGGACAGCAAAUGACGCUGAGGCGCGAAAGCGUGGGGAGCAAACAGGAUUAGAUACCCGGGUAGUC